rnacentral:tRNA from 1 species
GCGAUUGUGGUGUAACGGCAGCAUAUGAGGCUUCCAACCUCUCGGUACGAGUUCAAAUCUCGUCAAUCGCU